rfam:Phialocephala scopiformis strain CBS 120377 unplaced genomic scaffold LY89scaffold_14, whole genome shotgun sequence.
GGUCUCUUGGUGUAGUGGUAGCAUGUCAGCUUCAUUGUAUCAUGAAGGUUUCGGCGGCGGUUCGAUUCCGUCAGGGAUCA